rnacentral:lncRNA from 1 species
CAACUAGCUCCAACCUAGCUACACGAGGAGCAAUUUAGGUACAGAUGAAGUUUUUGGAAUUUAGAAAUAACUAAAGAAUUAGUUGAAAUAUUGAGAAAAAAUUUUGAGCGAAUUGCAAAGAUUAGAAUAUAAAAUUAUACAGGUCGCAAUAUUGAUUUUUUUUAUUCGAGUAAAAUAAAGCUUGAGAAAAGUGAUGACAAUAAUAGC